CAGCCGCCGCGGGAAUACGAAGGGUGCAAGCGUUACUCGGAAUUACUGGGCGUAAAGGGUGCGUAGGUGGUUUUUUAAGUCCGUUGUGAAAUCCCUGGGCUCAACCUGGGAAUGGCAGUGGAUACUGGAAAGCUAGAGUGCGGUAGAGGGUAGUGGAAUUCCCGGUGUAGCAGUGAAAUGCGUAGAGAUCGGGAGGAACACCAGUGGCGAAGGCGGCUACCUGGACCAGCACUGACACUGAAGCACGAAAGCGUGGGGAGCAAACAGGAUUAGAUACCCCCGUAGUCCCUGUCUCUUAUAC
rnacentral:rRNA from 1 species